GAUGAACGCUAGCGGCAGGCUUAACACAUGCAAGUCGAGGGGUAUAGGUUUUCGGACCUAGAGACCGGCGCACGGGUGCGUAACGCGUAUGCAAUCUACCUUUCACAGAGGGAUAGCCCAGAGAAAUUUGGAUUAAUACCUCAUAGUAUAGCAGUUUCGCAUGAAACCACUAUUAAAGUUCCAACGGUGAAAGAUGAGCAUGCGUCCCAUUAGCUAGAUGGUAAGGUAACGGCUUACCAUGGCUACGAUGGGUAGGGGUCCUGAGAGGGAGAUCCCCCACACUGGUACUGAGACACGGACCAGACUCCUACGGGAGGCAGCAGUGAGGAAUAUUGGUCAAUGGACGCAAGUAUGAACCAGUCAUGCCGCGUGCAGGAUGACGGUCCUAUGGAUUGUAAACUGCUUUUGUACGAGAAGAAACAACAUUACGUGUAAUGUCUUGACGGUAUCGUAAGAAUAAGGAUCGGCUAACUCCGUGCCAGCAGCCGCAGUAAAAC
rnacentral:rRNA from 1 species